CCCCCAGCCCAGGGCCUGUUAAGGAAAAGUUAGCACAUGUGACUCCCUUUUGGUUUGGGGCCCAGCAUUGUUUAAAUGCCAGCACAUCAUCCACCAGGAGGAGUGAUCCUUAGAUACUGAAUCCCUGUGAAAAUCCCCCUUGUCUCCAGCCUGCCUUGACUCCCAGUAUCUGGUUUUUGUCAGUCUCUAACUCCCUGUCUCUUGGCCUUGAUGUGAGGCCUCCCAUCCUAUUUACUGAUGCAUGGCUUUAGGACCAUGCUGUGUAAUUAACAUACUGGUAUAGCACGAGGAAUGCACCAAGCAGGGAUAGGUGGUAGAUGAGACAAGGGUUUGUUUAUUGGCUAAGGUUUCCGAUGCACGAGGGCAACAUGCUUUGCUAAAAAGUAUAUAACCUUUGUAUAAUCUGUAUUCAGGGUCCCCUCCUGGCUAGCAGGGGGGCACCACGCUCGAGCGUAAUAAACUUUUGGGAACUCUGCAGUUGUGGACUUUGUUUCUGUGCCUCAGCCUAGAUUCGAACUGUGCGUGUCCUCCCAGGUGUAAUUCGCAGCAGUUGUGUGCGUGUCCUCCCAGGUGUAAUUCGCAGCAUUGGUGUGCGUGUCCUCCCAGGUGUAAUUCGCAGCAUUGGUGUGCGUGUCCUCCCAGGUGUAAUUCGCAGCAUUGGUGUGCGUGUCCUCCCAGGUGUAAUUCGCAGCAGUGGUGUGCGUGUCCUCCCAGGUGUAAUUCGCAGCAUUGGUGUGCGUGUCCUCCCAGGUGUAAUUCGCAGCAGUGGUGUGCGUGUCCUCCCAGGUGUAAUUCGUAACAGGCCCCACCGCU